UAAAAACCAAUAUAAAAUCUUUAACAAGAAAUCAACUAUAUAACUAACAUUCACAAUUGAACUUUGAACCACAUGUCUCUUGAUGCUUUCACCUGGGAAAUAUAAAAAAAAAUAAAUCAGCUUUGUCUUUUUCUGACUGCCUUUAUUUAGUUAAAGGAACAGAUUUCAGGCCUGAUAUUAUAUCACAGACAGCAGAUAUUAUAUAAAUGGGUGCUAAUCCUGGUAUGUUACAUAUUGCAUGGAUGGGAUAAAAAGGUGCUUAGAGGGACCUUGUGAGAAGUUUCUUUAAAAAAGGCUUUUGGGAACUUGUAAUAGAAGAAAGUUGGAACCCAGGAUUUCUCCUGAACUGGAUCCACAUUCUCAGAGUCUGACCCACAGUUGGAUUAAUAAUCAGUCUGUUGGCAUGUAGAGAGAGAGUUGACCCUCGCAGUGCCGGGAGCGAGAUAUUUCGAGAAGACUUCAAUCUGAUUUGUGGCCCCCUGCUGCGUGUAAUCCCCUCUCUCUCUCCCCACCUUUCCUGUCAAUCUUCAGUCCCGUCCUUGCCAAUAAAAGGCUUAAAGCUCCCCAAAAAUAUAUAUCUAACAAAAGGUUUUUGUGUUUGUUUGGCUCACACACCAAGAAAGGUAAACUGAUUAGUAUGUCUGAGUAUUAUUAUUUCUAGCUCACUCUUGUGUAAUUUCAACUAAGAUUUAAAUUGAUUUAUAAAUGUGACAUUCAUAUUGAUGGUUGCAUCAUUUAUUAUUUAUUCAAAUUUGGUUCCUGAUGCAAAGGUGUUGUAAGUAUUCUGUUUAAAACCACAAGCAAUCAUAACAUUUCUGUUUAAUUUCUCUCUGACGUCUUUCUGAUAAUGUAAAGCAGCGUUGUUGCUUCCUCUUCUUCCAUGCAUGUGGUUGGUUCGCAGUGAGUAUAUUAUGACCUGUGUGUGUUUCAAACUCUUCACUUCAUCAACCAUGAACAAAGGUGUUCUGCUGGUCCUGUUGUGUCUGCAGGUUUUCCUACUCAUCACUGCCUUCACUUCUACUGACGCAGCCGCUCUGGUGACAGAUGAUGGACUUCCUCCUGAUCAGGUUUUCCUGCUCAUCACUGCCUUCACUUCUACUGAUGCAGCCGCUCUGGUGACAGAUGAUGGUCUUCCUCCUGAUCAGGAUGGAACUGCAGAGAAAGGAAUGAAGAAGACAUUUCGGAGCUGUAGGGGAAGAAUAGGAGGAUGUGGUCUUUUCAUACGGCCUGCUAAGAAUCCCAAACCCAGAUUACAUGUUAAGAAAACGGACAGCGCGUCGACAUGAUGAAAACUCACUCGUGCAAAAACAGAAGUUUGAAACAAGCUUUUCCAGAACUGCAACACUAUGUGACGGAGUGGAAAUGAAUAUCUACUGUAUGCUGUAGUGCUUAUCAACUGUGCAUUAAUGUGUUUAUUUGCUAAAUAAACAUAUUUUUUUACCAUGAUGGGUUUUCUGUAUGGUUAAUGGUUAAUAUCUGUUAAAUGUAUGUAUUUUUAACAAGUUAAUACUUCAUUUUAAUGUUGGCUGACUCUGUGAACGCUGACUCGAAGCAUGAGGCAAGAAUGACGUAUUUUCACAGAACCAAGUUGUUUCCUCUCGUUUCCAGUCUUUAUGUCAAGCUAAGCUAAUGUCUCCUAGUUGUAACUUAAUGUUUACUGUACGGACACAAGAGUGGUGUCAAUCUUCUCAUCUAACUUGCAGCUAAAAUUAAAUAAAUAGGUACAGUGGCCGUCAAGGGCAAACGGCCGCAAACGGCAAAACGCUGCAAACACGGGAAUGAUGCAAAACCAAAAACACACAAACACAUAAAAACAAAUGCAACAGAAAAACGCAGCAACAGAAAAAUGCUCCAAUCACAGAAACGAAGCAGAAGCAAAAACUUACAAACCCACAAAAGAACUGCCAAAGAAAAAUGCUGCAAAUACCAAAAACACACAAAACAACAAAACAACUCCAACAGAUAAAUGCUGCAAAUUCACUCGACAAAACAGAAGUGCGCCAGGCCACUAGGGGGACCCGACCUGAGGGAUGGAACAGUCCUGUGGGACCAGACCCGAAAGACAUGAAGAAGAAGAAGAAAGUUGGCUAAGUUUUUGAGAGGAGAGUAAAAAGAUAAGUUUCCGUUAUGUCUUUUUAACGCUUCCUCAUUAUUGUCCUAUAGAAGUGAUUGAUAAUGCAACAACA
rnacentral:lncRNA from 15 species